AUUGAACGCUGGCGGCAGGCCUAACACAUGCAAGUCGAGCGGAUGAAGGGAGCUUGCUCCUGGAUUCAGCGGCGGACGGGUGAGUAAUGCCUAGGAAUCUGCCUGGUAGUGGGGGAUAACGUCCGGAAACGGGCGCUAAUACCGCAUACGUCCUGAGGGAGAAAGUGGGGGAUCUUCGGACCUCACGCUAUCAGAUGAGCCUAGGUCGGAUUAGCUAGUUGGUGGGGUAAAGGCCUACCAAGGCGACGAUCCGUAACUGGUCUGAGAGGAUGAUCAGUCACACUGGAACUGAGACACGGUCCCGACUCCUAAGGGAGGCAGCAGUGGGGAAUAUUGGACAAUGGGCGAAAGCCUGAUCCAGCCAUGCCGCGUGUGUGAAGAAGGUCUUCGGAUUGUAAAGCACUUUAAGUUGGGAGGAAGGGCAGUAAGUUAAUACCUUGCUGUUUUGACGUUACCAACAGAAUAAGCACCGGCUAACUUCGUG
rnacentral:rRNA from 1 species